rnacentral:rRNA from 1 species
GACGAACGCUGGCGGCGUGCUUAACACAUGCAAGUCGAACGGAAAGGCCCCUUUGGGGGUACUCGAGUGGCGAACGGGUGAGUAACACGUGAGUAACCUGCCCUUGACUUCGGGAUAACUUCAGGAAACUGGGGCUAAUACCGGAUAGGAAUCCUUGCUGCAUGGUGGGGGUUGGAAAGCUUCGGCGGUUUUGGAUGGACUCGCGGCUUAUCAGCUUGUUGGUGGGGUAGUGGCUUACCAAGGCUUUGACGGGUAGCCGGCCUGAGAGGGCGACCGGCCACAUUGGGACUGAGAUACGGCCCAGACUCCUACGGGAGGCAGCGGUGGGGAAUAUUGCCCAAUGGGCGGAAGCCUGAUGCGGCAACGCCGCGUGCGGAUGACGGCCUUCGGGUUGUAAACCGCUUUCAGCAGGGGCGAAGCUUGUGGUGACGGUACCUGCAGAAGAAGCACCGGCUAACUACGUG